UACAGAGGGUGCAAGCGUUAAUCGGAAUGACUGGGCGUAAAGCGUGUGUAGGUGGUUAGAUAAGUUAGAUGUGAAAUCCCCGGGCUUAACCUGGGAACUGCGUUUAAGACUGUCUAGCUAGAGUACUGUAGAGGAUAGUGGAAUUUCCAGUGUAGCGGUGAAAUGCGUAGAUAUUGGAAGGAACACCAGUGGCGAAGGCGAUCACCUGGGGAUGUUCUGACGCUGAGGAGCGAAAGCUAGGGGAGCAAACGGG
rnacentral:rRNA from 1 species